rnacentral:rRNA from 1 species
UAGUCUGGUGCCAGCAGCCGCGGUAAUUCCAGCUCCAAUAGCGUAUAUUAAAGUUGUUGCAGUUAAAACGCUCGUAGUCGGAUUUCGGGGCAGGUUUGCCGGUCUGCCGAUGGGUAUGCACUGGUAGAACUGUCCUUCCUUCCGGGGACGGCGCCUACUCUUAACUGAGCGGGUGUCGGAGACGGAUCGUUUACUUUGAAAAAAUCAGAGUGUUUCAAGCAGGCAGCUCGCUUUUGCAUGGAUUAGCAUGGGAUAAUGAAAUAGGACUUUGGUGCUAUUUUGUUGGUUUCGAACACCGAAGUAAUGAUUAACAGGGACAGUCAGGGGCACUCGUAUUCCGCCGAGAGAGGUGAAAUUCUUAGACCAGCGGAAGACGAACCACUGCGAAAGCAUUUGCCAGGGAUGUUUUCACUGAUCAAGAACGAAAGUUAGGGGAUCGAAGACGAUCAGAUACCGUCGUAGUCUUAACCAUAAACCAUGCCGACUAGGGAUUGGAGGAUGUUCCUAUGUGACUCCUUCAGCACCUUUCGGGAAACUAAAGUCUUUGGGUUCCGGGGGGAGUAUGGUCGCAAGGCUGAAACUUAAAGGAAUUGACGGAAGGGCACCACAAGGAGUGGAGCCUGCGGCUUAAUUUGACUCAACACGGGGAAACUUACCAGGUCCAGACAUUGUGAGGAUUGACAGAUUGAGAGCUCUUUCUUGAUUCGAUGGGUGGUGGU